GAAAUUAGAGUAAGGAAGCAAAGUGUAAUCAGGCGAGAAAAGGUAUAUGUAUUGAUGAGGUGACCGUACCGCAAACCGACACAGGUAGAUGAGGAGAGGAUCCUAAGGCCAACGGGAGAAGGGUUGUUAAGGAACUCGGCAUAUUGACCCCGUAACUUCGGAAUAAGGGGUGCCACUGAAAGGUGGUCGCAGUGAAAAGGCCCAGGCGACUGUUUAUCAAAAACACAGGUCUCUGCUAAAUCGAAAGAUGACGUAUAGGGGCUGACGCCUGCCCGGUGCCGGAAGGUUAAGGGGAAGUGUAAGGGCAACCGAAGCACAGAACUUAAGCCCCGGUAAACGGCGGCCGUAACUAUAACGGUCCUAAGGUAGCGAAAUUCCUUGUCAGGUAAGUUCUGACCUGCACGAAUGGCGUAACGAUCUGGGCACUGUCUCAACAGCCCGCCCGGCGAAAUUGUAGUACCGGUGAAGAUGCCGGUUACCCGCGACUAGACGGAAAGACCCCAUGGAGCUUUACUGUAGUUUGAUACUGGAUUUCGACAGAUUAUGUACAGGAUAUGUGGGAGACGGAGAAGUGAUUGCGCCAGCAGUCAUGGAGUCGGCCUUGGGAUACCACGCUUAAUCUGUUGGGAUUCUAACCUACGCCUUUGAAUCAAGGCGGGGGACAAUGUCAGGCAGGCAGUUUGACUGGGGCGGUCGCCUCCAAAAGAGUAACGGAGGCGUUCAAAGGUUGGUUCAGCGCGGACGGAAAUCGCGCAAUGAGUAUAAACGCAUAAACCGGCCUAACUGUGAGACAGACACGUCGAACAGUAACGAAAGUUGGAGUUAGUGAUCAGGUGGUAGUGAAUGGAAAUGCCAUCGCUUAACGGAUAAAAGCUACCCUGGGGAUAACAGGCUGAUCUCCCCCAAGAGUUCACAUCGACGGGGAGGUUUGGCACCUCGAUGUCGGCUCAUCACAUCCUGGGGCUUGGAGCAGGUCCCAAGGGUUCGGCUGUCCGCCGAUUAAAGUGGUACGCGAGCUGGGUUCAGAACGUCGUGAGACAGUUCGGUCCCUAUCUGUCGUGGGCGCAGGAUAUUUGAGAGGAGCUGUCCUUAGUACGAGAGGACCGGGAUGGACAUACCGCCGGUGCACCGGUUGUUCCGCCAGGAGCACAGCCGGGUAGCCGAGUAUGGACGGAUAAACGCUGAAGGCAUCUAAGCGUGAAACACACCUCAAGAUAAGAUAUCCCACAAUGCAAGUUGGUAAGGACACUUGAAGACGACAAGUUUGAUAGGUCAGGGGUGGAAGUGCAGUAAUGCAUUAAGCUGACUGAUACUAAUAGUCCGAGGGCUUGAACAA
rnacentral:rRNA from 1 species